AAUGGAAAUGAGGAUCCACAGCACUGGGCACUGAGGGGGAAACAAAUAUCCUUUCAAAUGAGUGACAAUGCUUUAGCGGGCCUAGAAAACCCGCGCAACUGAUCCAUUG
ensembl:snoRNA C/D box small nucleolar RNA (snoRNA); guides 2'-O-methylation of large subunit (LSU) rRNA at position C2197